rnacentral:lncRNA from 1 species
UAAUACACCAAAAGCUACUGGCCAUAUCUGAUUUUUGCAACUCCAGCAAACCCACUGGUAAUUCCCUUCCUCUCAUAUGGCGAUUUACGGCAAGAGACCACCGCCUUCACUCGUCGCUUAUUUUUGGGGCUAUUAGGGUUCGUCGAGCAAGUCCAGUGAGUUCAGUUGUAAGACGGCGACAACGGUGGCGGCCACGGUUCCUUUGGCCUCCGGUCUCUUCGUAUCAAGCACAUCUCUCUCUUUAGGCGUCAAUUUCAUUUUGGGUAUCACCUGGAGAAGGAACCGGUGCGAGUGUGCGACAAUGUCGGAUGAUGAUGAUGAUCAAGUGGACAGUGAUGCGAAUUUGUUUGAUGGGAUGGGUUGCAGUGCUGGAUUGAUCUCUAUUGAUCUUGCCAAACAGCUGAAUAUAUAUAGUUGAAUGCUUAGAGCAUCUUGCUUUGCAACUAUGGCAAUCAGGGAGCUGCUCAAAACAUCAACUUCUAAGAGUUGCUUGGCAAAGGAAUGUGAAGAUGGAUGUUGCUGAUAGCCUGAUACUACUUGGAAGCUAGAUGAAGCUGGAUUUUUGAAGACAGUAGAUCUGUUUUUGUGUAGUGUAGAACUGUAGAUUUUGCUUUUGUUUUGUUUUAUACUUUUAUGUAUGGUUUAAGGCUUAGAGUUCAUGUUUUGCACAAAUGGAACAUAAAUGUUAUUGAGUUUUGAACAUAGUAAUUAUUUUGACCGCCUGCA